CAGUCGCCGCGGGAAUACGUAGGUGGCAAGCGUUGUCCGGAAUUAUUGGGCGUAAAGGGCUCGCAGGCGGUUUCUUAAGUCUGAUGUGAAAGCCCCCGGCUCAACCGGGGAGGGUCAUUGGAAACUGGGAAACUUGAGUGUAGAAGAGGAGAGUGGAAUUCCACGUGUAGCGGUGAAAUGCGUAGAGAUGUGGAGGAACACCAGUGGCGAAGGCGACUCUCUGGUCUGUAACUGACGCUGAGGAGCGAAAGCGUGGGGAGCGAACAGGAUUAGAUACCCGCGUAGUCCCUGUCUCUUAUAC
rnacentral:rRNA from 1 species